UAGAAUGCAAGCGUUGCUUUUUAUAAUAAUUAAUAUAUAAUCGAGAAAAACACUUGGUGUGGUAACGAAGGACCUAAAAACCACAAAUAUCAUAUCUUCCUUUCUCUCUGGGUACCGAUGCCGUCUCCAUACACUCCGGCCCCCCAACAUCUUCUUCAAUCUCCUUCUCUUGGCAGCACUUUUUUAUUUAACAACAUCUGCAAAGUCAACUGCAUCAAAUUCCCAGGAAGAAAGCUUAUUUCUCUUCCAAAAUUAUCAUUAUCCACUGCAAAUCCUGCAUUCCCAGAAGGGUUAUCCCAUUUGAUUGACAAGAAAGAAAUCGGCUUAGUUGAGAAUUAUAGUGGCCUGCCCAUCAAAAAAGAAAAGCCUGAAACCAAUAGAUUGCAGGUGGAGAAUUUCGCGGAUGUAAUUAGAGCAUUACCCUGUAAAGAAAGAAAUGAUAUUCUCAACGGUUUUACAAAAGAUGACCAAAAUUGGAACAUAUCGGACUUAAAUGAUUUUCUCAUGGCUUUCCUUGUAGCUAAUGAGCCUAACCUUGCCUUAAAACUGUAUUAUGAUAUAUCCUCUCAUGGUUUGGCACCAGAUUCUUGCACAUUUUCUAUCAUAAUCAGGUGUCAUUGCAAGAUAAAUGAUGCUGAUGAAGCUAAAAGGGUUUUAGACCGCAUGCAAGAAAAUGGGUUAAACCCCAAUGUGGCUACUUUGACAACGUUGAUCAAUUCAUUUUGCAAGAGGGGUAAAUUACAGAAAGCUUUCGAAGUCCUUGAGGUCAUGGAAAGAAUUGGGUGCAGACCAACUGUGCAAAUAUACAAUUGCUUGUUGAAAGGAUUAUGUUACGUGGGGAGGGUGGAGGAAGCAUAUGAACUGCUAGAAGAUAUCAAGAAAUCUUCCUUAGAACCAGAUAUUUAUUCAUACACAGCUGUGAUGGAUGGUUUCUGCAAGGUAGGCAGAUCAGAUGAGGCAAUGGAGCUGCUUAAUGAAGCUCUGGAGAUGGGAUUGACACCAAGUGCUGUCACUUUUAACACUCUGUUUGAAGGUUAUAGUAAAGAAGGGAGGCCACUCAAAGGAAUUGGUGUGUUAAAGAAAAUGAAACAGAGAAAUUGCCUGCCCGAUUAUAUUAGCUAUAGCACGUUGCUACAUGGUUUGUUGAUAUGGAGGAAAAUCGGAGCAGCACUGCUAAUAUAUAAGGAAAUGGUGGGGAAUGGUUUUGAGGUGGAUGAGAGGUUAAUGAACGGUCUCUUGAGGGGUUUGUGUAGAAAAUUCUUGAAGGAAAAAGACCUACCAGAAGAUGCCUAUAAAGUGUUCGAGAAAAUGAAUAAAAGAGCAUAUAUUAUUGACCAUAGCACAUACAGUCUAGUGAUCCAAGCUCUUUCCAUGGGAAAGAAAGUGGAUGAUGCUCUGGCCAAUUUGCACCAAAUGAUUAGAUUUGGGCAUAUUCCAAGAGUUACAACCAUGACUAGCGUAAUUCGAGCAUUUUGCGUGGAGGGAAAGUUCGACAAGGCGUUUUUGGUAUUAGUUCUGAUGUAUGAAACUCAUAAAAUCCCUAGUAGAAUCUCCCACGACCUCAUGAUUCGUGAAUUGAAUAGACAAGGAAGGUUUUUAGAAGCUUGUAAUGUCUAUGGUGCAGCGUUGGUUCGAGGCGUAGUUCCCAUCAAGAAGCCCCGACAAUAAGGAAAUGCUUGACAACAAUUAUUUGCAUUCAUUCAAUUGCCUUAAUACUAUCGAAGUUAUCUUCAUGCAUAAAUGAAUUCUGUAAUGGCAUUAGUUGCUGUCUGCACUUCAAAAACACAACAUAAUUACAGUAGAUCCGAUAUUAAAUUUUCCAUUUCCAUAUAGAAUUCUUUUUUGCUGUGCCUGAAAUGCAAAAUAGCAUUUCUUCCCAGCAUGAGAAGAUCCAUAUGCCACUCUAUGAAAAUUUUCGGAUGAAUACAUAUGCUCAACUGAUUUUCCUAUUAAAUAUAGUUUACAACUCUACUCCAAUAAUGUAAUUGACCCAAAAAACAAACUAACUAAAUCCUACGCCCGGCUCGUAUAUUGGCCAGUUCUUGUGUCUACCAAGAUUUCAUCACCAGCAUUAAUGAAUAAUGGAACAUUAACUACGGCACCUGUGUCCAGAGUAACUGGUUUUGAUCCACCUUGAGCAGUGUCACCUUUGAGGCCAGGAUCAGCGCCAACUACAGUCAGCUUUACUGUGAUUGGAAGUUCAAAAUCAAUAACUUUCCCCCUCCAAAAUAGCAAAUUACAGUCCAUUCCCUCUUUCAGCCACUUUGUCUUAUCUCCAACAUCCGAUUCAUUGAGCCGAAAUUCUUCAUAUGUAUUCAGGUCCAUGAAGACAAAUUGAGCACCAUCUUUGUAUGUGAACUGCUUUGUCUCCUUAAAUACAUCUGCCUCCUCAAGCGCACUUCCAGCACGAAAAGUUUUCUCAACAGUGUUUCCUGUUACAUAAUUCCGGAUUUUGGUCCUGACAAAUGCUGCUCCCUUUCCAGGUUUCACAUGAAGAAAUUCUAAAACCCGCCAAGGAGCACCAUCUACUUCGAUGUUGGUACCCACUUUGAUAUCGUUGCUAGACAACGCACAAAUCCUGGGAAAAGUGGGGCGCAAAUGCGUUUUGGGGAAAAUGGACAUUGAGAGAAUGGAGAGUUUAGAUGAGAUGGACAACGAUGAGGUUGUUGCUGAUGAUAAUGAUGAAGUUGGUAAGAUGGAAUAAGCAGAAGAGAGACUGAAGGUUGAAGUUCCCGCCAUGUUUGUUCAGGAAGCAAGAAAAUCGAAGAAAUGAGCGGAGGAAUUUUAAUGCUACUCUCCUCAAAUUUGAAGUGCCGGAGAAUUCCUCUCCUUAGAUAAGAG
rnacentral:misc_RNA from 1 species